CCUUCGUUAGCUCAGUUGGUAGAGAGGAGGACUGUAGAUCCUUAGGUCGCUGGUUCAAAUCCGGCUCGAAGGA
rnacentral:tRNA from 1 species